CCGGGGAGCUCCGGAAGCGGAGGGAGCCGGGGGAAAAUGGCGGCCGGCUUGAAAUCGGAGCGGGGCGGCGCGGGCGGAAAGCGGGGCUGUGGGGGCCCCGAGGAGUAGUGGAGGGACAUGGGGGCCCUGAGGACAAGGACCCCUACAGCAACCUGUUCCCGAUGGUCUGCAAGGGGCGCAGUGACUCCUCCAAGGUCAUUGUCUUUGGCUUCAAGGGAGUGUCCCCCUGUCACUGCCACGUUUUCCCCCCCAGUGUGGGCUGUGUCCUCCACACUGGCUCUUCCCUGGGAGCCUGUGCCGUUGCCGUCCAUGUCACAGGGGACACCAGCUGCUGGCAAAUUCUCGGCGAGUGCUGGAGCCUGACAGAGCAUCUUGGCAAAGGAGAGAUGCGUGAGUGAGAGAGGAUCCGAGCAGGGAUUCCCUGGAUGCAGAGAGGAGGAUAAAGGAGCUGCAGAGCAGAGACUGACGGGGGCUCGGAUGGGAUGAGAGAGAGGGAAAGGGAGAUGAAGUGCCACAAGGUUCCUCAGAGAUGGAGGAAGGUAUUUGCUCUAAAGCUUUAAAAAGAGGCAACGGAAUGUAACGGGUUUUUUUCCCCUGAUAUUUAGACAGUGUGCUCUGAAGUAUUUUAUUUCUCUCUGGCUUUCAGUGGCGCAUUUCCCCGGCAGCCCAGUGGCAUCUCUGUCAGGCAGUGCCCCGGCCAGAUGUCCCUCCUCCUUGCGUAACACCCAAAAAAACCUUGUAGUCCAAUUAUAACUAUGUAUUUUGGAGAGAGAGAGUGUUAUGGUAUCAAUUCACAGCUGUGCAAGUGAAAUUAGUGCCAGAGGAAAGUCAAAUACUUUUAUAGUGUAAGUAUUUUUAUUUUGUAUAUAUAAACCUAAUGCACACCUUUUCACCAAAAGGGAAGGGACAAGGCACUUCCCAACACCAGUGAGAAGGUUUACUGUUAUGCUAAGAACGUGUUCAAAAUGGUAGCAAUUAGACUUAAUCCUGACUUUAAGAGUUGAGCUGGCACUGGCUUUUGAAGGCUGUGCUGUAUCUGGAGCUGAGCUGUUUCCCCAGAAUCCUCCUGUAGCUCAGCUACUGUCCCAUCCCUCUGUCUGAGGGAAUUCCUCUGCUCUCUUCCAGGCUAUAUUUUAGGAUGCUGAGCUAUAAUCAGGGAUUUUUGUUUUCCAGGUGCCUUCUUGUAGGCAUCUCAUGCUGCUCGAAAGAUGCCCCAGCCCAGGUUUGCAGCUGGUGGCGGAGCCCCCCUGAGGGGAAGGGGCCAGCCCUGGGUCUGGGCAUUUUGGGCCUUUUUGGCAGGGGGAUAGAAGGGUGUCUGUGUGCGUGUCUCAGGGGGUGAUGGUGUCAUUUUGGGGUACCCUGAUGUCACUGGGGCAGCGAUGAUGCAGCGGAGGAGCAGGUGAGCGGUGGAUGUGGGGUUACGUGAAGGUCUCCCAAAACAGGUGGUUCACAGCCCCAAAAUGUCUGAAAAUUCUUGGGAUGCAUUAAAAAAUGUGAAAACCUGUAACUAUGGGCAUGAGGCAUUGAAAUAGAGAACAAUCAUUUACAUAUGAGAAAUAUAUAUAUUGAGAAAUAAUAAUUUAUGUAUGUAAAAUAACUUCAAAAUAAAAACCUCUGUCUCUAA